rnacentral:rRNA from 1 species
CAAUAGCGUAUAUUAAAGUUGUUGCAGUUAAAAAGCUCGUAGUUGGAUUUCUGAUCGAGACAUCAGGUCGGGUCCGAGAGGAUCAUGUACUUUGAUUUUGUUUUGAUCAUCCUUGGGGAGAGCAUUUCUGGCAUUCAGUUGUCGGGAUUGGGAUCCUCAUCGUUUACUGUGAAAAAAUUAGAGUGUUCAAAGCAGGCCUCGGCCUCUGAAUACAUUAGCAUGGAAUAAUAAGAUAGGACUUUGGUGGUCUAUUUUGUUGGUUUGCACGCCAAAGUAAUGAUUAAGAGGGAUAGUUGGGGGUAUUCGUAUUCAAUUGUCAGAGGUGAAAUUCUUGGAUUUAUGGAAGACGAACUACUGCGAAAGCAUUUACCAAGGAUGUUUUCAUUAA